rnacentral:rRNA from 1 species
AUUCCAGCUCCAAUAGCGUAUAUUUAAGUUGUUGCAGUUAAAAAGCUCGUAGUUGGAUUUCGGUUGAGAGCGGCCGGUCCGCCGUUUGGUGUGCACUGGCUGGUCUCAACUUCCUGCGGAGGACGCGCUCUGGGCUUAACGGUCUGGACGUGGAGUCCGCGUGGUUACUUUGAAAAAAUUAGAGUGUUCAAAGCGGGCUUACGCUUGAAUAUUUCAGCAUGGAAUAACACUAUAGGACUCCUGUCCUAUUUCGUUGGUCUCGGGACGGGAGUAAUGAUUAAGAGGAACAGUUGGGGGCAUUCGUAUUUCAUUGUCAGAGGUGAAAUUCUUGGAUUUAUGAAAGACGAACUUCUGCGAAAGCAUUUGCCAAGGAUGUUUUCAUUG